GCUGGUGGUACAGUGGUUAAGCACUUGGCUGCUAACCAAAAGGUUGGUGGUUCAAAUCCACCCAACAGCU
rnacentral:tRNA from 1 species